GCCAACAUGGUGUAACGGAUUGAGCAUUGGACUAUGACUCUGGAGACCAGGGUUCAAAUCCCUGCUCAGCCA